AGAGUUUGAUCAUGGCUCAGGAUGAACGCUAGCGGGAGGCCUAACACAUGCAAGCCGAGCGGUAGAGAUUCUUCGGAAUCUUGAGAGCGGCGUACGGGUGCGGAACACGUGUGCAACCUACCUUAUCUGGAGGAUAGCCCUUUUCGAAAAGGGAAAGAGUUAAUACUCCAUAAUAUAUUGAUUGGCAUCAAUUGAUAUUGAAAGCUCCGGCGGAUAGAGAUGGGCACGCGCAAGAUUAGUUAGUUGGUGAGGUAACGGCUCACCAAGACGAUGAUCUUUGGGGGCCUGAGAGGGUGAUCCCCCACACUGGUACUGAGACACGGACCAGACUCCUACGGGAGGCAGCAGUGAGGAAUAUUGGUCAAUGGGUGCAAGCCUGAACCAGCCAUCCCGCGUGAAGGACGACUGCCCUAUGGGUUGUAAACUUCUUUUGUAUAGGGAUAAACCUACCCUCGUGAGGGUAGCUGAAGGUACUAUACGAAUAAGCACCGGCUAACUCCGUG
rnacentral:rRNA from 1 species